rnacentral:rRNA from 1 species
CCCCAGAACCUGGGAUAACCUCUCGAAAGGGUGGCUAAUACCGGAUAAUGUCUUGAUCUCUUCGGAGAACUUGACCAAAGGUGGCCUCUGUUCAAGCUACUGUUUUGGGAUGGGCUCGCGGUCCAUUAGCUUGUUGGUGAGGUAACGGCUCACCAAGGCUGCUAUGGAUAGCUGGUCUGAGAGGAUGAUCAGCUACACUGGCACUGAGACACGGGCCAG